AGCGAACGCUGGCGGCAGGCCUAACACAUGCAAGUCGAACGGACCCUUCGGGGUUAGUGGCGGACGGGUGAGUAACACGUGGGAACGUGCCCUUUGGUUCGGAACAACUCAGGGAAACUUGAGCUAAUACCGAAUGUGCCCUUCGGGGGAAAGAUUUAUCGCCAUUGGAGCGGCCCGCGUCUGAUUAGCUAGUUGGUGGGGUAAUGGCCCACCAAGGCUACGAUCAGUAGCUGGUCUGAGAGGAUGAUCAGCCACAUUGGGACUGAGACACGGCCCAAACUCCUACGGGAGGCAGCAGUGGGGAAUCUUGCGCAAUGGGCGAAAGCCUGACGCAGCCAUGCCGCGUGAAUGAUGAAGGUCUUAGGAUUGUAAAAUUCUUUCACCGGUGAAGAUAAUGACGGUAACCGGAGAAGAAGCCCCGGCUAACUUCGUGCCAGCCGCCGCUGUAACAC
rnacentral:rRNA from 1 species